CCAGCCUUAACCAAUCAGAAUGAAGUAAACAGGUGUAUCAAUCAUAUAGUAAUAAGUAACCUGUGUGAUGUCAAUCAUGUAAUACUGAGUAACCAGUCUGUAAGAGAGAGAAGAAAAGCAGCGGUCUGGGACUAUACCAGGACGCCUCACUGCAGCCUUGUCUCGUCUCUGUUUCCCGAUACAACAUCUGGUGACCCCGACGUGAUCCAGACACAGGACUCCCGACUCAUCGGCUGGCUUAGCCUUGGUGCACCACAGCGCAACGCGCUCCCUCAUUGCUGCAGUAUUACAACACAUCCGAACCCACAAGCCGACCCUUUUUAUCUAGAGCCCAGCGCCAUUAUAGACAGACCGAGCCCCUUCCGGCGCCGAAGGUGAUAUAUCGCAAGUUGCCAGGACCAGAGUGGAGCCUGCCUGUGCCACUCAUCACCUGGGGCCGGGGCUACACAGCAGUGUCAACUGAAACCGGCCCUGUGUGGGUUCCUGCUCGCUUUGUGAAGCCGUGGAGAGAUGGCCUGGCAUCAGGGGCUAAAGAAUCCCAUUCCGGAUUUCAGUCUAACCCUGACGGAUAGGGCAGACAAGAUCGACAAGGCCCGAAAGCGUGGCACACCUAACACUGCCAUAACUUGGGGGCAGGUCAAAGCUUUAUCACGGCAGGCUGAACAUGUAUUAGAGCGGCUAUAGAUUAUUUACUUAUGCUGCAUCAUUAUGGAUGUGAAAAGGUUAAUGAUAUGUGUUGCUUUAAUAUUUCUGAUCGUCAUCAUUCAGUUGAAAAUCAACUCAAGAUAAUUAAAAAUUUAACAGAUCAAAUCAGAUACAAUCCAGACCCCUUCUCGGGAUGGUGGGAUUGGCUCUCCUCAUGGCUUCCUAACACUGGGUGGUUGCAUCAGCUUGUAACC